GGCGUGGCUUCCGGAGCUAACGCGUUAAGUCGACCGCCUGGGGAGUACGGCCGCAAGGUUAAAACUCAAAUGAAUUGACGGGGGCCCGCACAAGCGGUGGAGCAUGUGGUUUAAUUCGAUGCAACGCGAAGAACCUUACCUGGUCUUGACAUCCACAGAAGUUUUCAGAGAUGGGAAGGUGCCUUCGGGAACUGUGAGACAGGUGCUGCAUGGCUGUCGUCAGCUCGUGUUGUGAAAUGUUGGGUUAAGUCCCGCAACGAGCGCAACCCUUAUCCUUUGUUGCCAGCGGUCCGGCCGGGAACUCAAAGGAGACUGCCAGUGAUAAACUGGAGGAAGGUGGGGAUGACGUCAAGUCAUCAUGGCCCUUACGACCAGGGCUACACACGUGCUACAAUGGCGCAUACAAAGAGAAGCGACCUCGCGAGAGCAAGCGGACCUCAUAAAGUGCGUCGUAGUCCGGAUUGGAGUCUGCAACUCGACUCCAUGAAGUCGGAAUCGCUAGUAAUCGUGGAUCAGAAUGCCACGGUGAAUACGUUCCCGGGCCUUGUACACACCGCCCGUCACACCAUGGGAGUGGGUUGCA
rnacentral:rRNA from 1 species